CCUACGGGAGGCAGCAGUGGGGAAUAUUGCACAAUGGGGGAAACCCUGAUGCAGCAACGCCGCGUGAGCGAAGAAGGCCUUCGGGUCGUAAAGCUCUGUCCUAAGGGAAGAAGCAUGACGGUACCUUAGGAGGAAGCCCCGGCUAACUACGUGCCAGCAGCCGCGGUAAUACGUAGGGGGCGAGCGUUAUCCGGAAUCACUGGGCGUAAAGGGUGCGUAGGCGGCCGAUUAAGGCAGGGGUGAAAGGCUACGGCUCAACCGUAGUAAGCCCUUGGAACUGAUUGGCUUGAGUGCAGGAGGGGAGAGUGGAAUUCCUAGUUUAGCGGUUGAAUGCGUAGAUAUUAGGGGGAAACCCAGGGGCGAAGGGGACUCUCUGGACUGUAACUGACGCUGAGGCACGAAAGCGUGGGGGGGCAACAGGAUUAGAUACCCCAGUAGUC
rnacentral:rRNA from 1 species